UGCGAUACACCACCAGUGGUUCCUGCAAGUCUACAUGGCCCCCAAUCGCAAGCACCACACGUAUGCACCUGCUGCUCAUUUACAUGAGCAAAACUGCUGAUGCUGCUACCAUACGUGAAACCUAGCCUGACGGCUCAGAGCUUCUGUGAGGUUGGAUGAGCUUUGCCGACCUGGACGGCGAUGGGGAAGACGACCAAGACAUUAGGGCAUCUCGAGCCUGACCAGCCUGAUGCCCUGCAAAAAGACGCCAGCAUACCUUGUGCUCAUUUAGAUCAAGACAACUGCUGCUGCCAUCCGUAACCUAGCCUAGCACCGCAGAUGGCUCAGGGAGGAGCAGGAGGUGAAGCGGGAUGAGGCAGGCGCAUCCGCUAGCGCUGCGGGAGGGCUCUGGUUGUCGACUACAAGCUGCUAUACCCCAUCUGUUCCUGCCAGUCUACGAGGCCCCCAAUUGCAAGUGGCGGGGAGGCGCUCUGGUUGCUGCCGCGGAUCCACUACAGGGUCUACACAGUCGUUUCUUCCUGCAAGUCUCUGAGGCCCCUCUAUUGCCAGCAGCCAGAGUAUGCAUGUGCUCAAUUAGAUGAAGAAAUCUAUAGUUGUUGCUGCCAUCCGUGAUACCUUGCCUAGCACGGUGGAUGGCUGAGGGAUGAGGGACGAGGAAGAGCUAAAGCGGGAGGAGGCGGGUGCAUUCGGAAGCGCUGCGGGGAGGGCUCCGGUUGCUUGCUGCAGAUCAACUAGAAGCUGCUAUAUGUCAUCGGUUCCUGCCAGCCUACGAGGCCCUCAAUUGCAAGGUGAAUGGAACUUUCCAAGCCCAAGAGCAUGCUGGUAGUACUCUGUUGACAACUUCUUCCCCAUGUUGAAGAGCAUGGUUCAUUGAGAUGUGCUUGUUGUAUGAGUGCUGGAAAUCUUCAACGUUUUCCCCUGAUCCCUGCUCCCUGGUCUGGCAGCCAUCCAUUGCCGGUCGAUUCGGACCCAUUCAUGAGCAGGGAGGUUGGCCGUGGGAGGGUUCUGCUCGCCUGCGAUGCAGCAUCAACCAGCAGAACUCGAUGACGGCGACACGAGCCACAGAGUGCUACUACCCAUUCAUCUUCUUUGCCCCUGGGAAGCUCGGGGUCGCUCUAUCCAUCAGGUUCUGGGCGGCUGGAAGAUCCAGAGACAACUUGGCGCUCUACUUCCCUGUGUCCUCUGCCGCAACAGGCUGACGCAGCCCAUGGGCUCUGUCCUCACAGUCUCCUCUGCAUGAUGCUGCCCGAGUGUAAAAGAAUACCAUCUUGCACAGCUUUUACUGGCUAUGCGUCUCCACCGAUGGUGUCAUCAACGCCUGGGCAUGGGUGCUGGAUGGUGGCACCUGCAUCAACGCUGACUUCUACAGCUGGGCCAGUUCAAGGCACUGUUCCAUUGUUCUUCAAUGAAGAGAUCCUGUUGUGCCCGACCACCAUGACGCUCCGCAAAAAGCAGCCAGAAUAUGCAAGUGCUCAAUUAGAUGAAGAAACCUAAGCCGAUGUUUCCAUUCGUGAUACCUUGCCUAGCACGGCGGACGGCUGAGGGACGAGGAGGAGCUCAAGCGGGAGGAGGCAGGCGCAUCUGCAAGCGCUGCGGGGAGGUGCUCCAGUUUCUGCUGUGGAUUGACUACGAGGUAUAUGCCAUUGGUUCCUGCCAGUCUACGAGGCCCUCAAUUGCAAGGUUACCACUGCUACCAUUCUCACAUCACAUCACCAGUGUUUUAUAUGAGUUUUGAGGCAUUGAUGUAUAGUUAAAUCAAACCACUCCUGUGGUCUAUAUGUACAUGUACCCAAGGCCUUGUUCUGGCCAAGUAUUCAAAAUAUUUAGUGUUGAUGA